UCUCAUAUAUGGGAGUUUAAACGGUACGUCAUGUUACAUGUCUUUUGUAACCGACACUUAAUUUCUCAAUUCAAUGUUUCUUCUUCGACUGAACAUUUGAGGGGUUGUUUGCAAGAGAGAAGUUAGUCUGGAAAAUUCGGUUGUUAGCUGCGGCAUGUUUAUAGCUUGCUCUCAAGGUAGACGAAAUUGAUGCUUUUUCGACUAUUGAUUUGCAGGUUACUGAAAUUUAUCAGUAAAUCGUAUGCUUUCUCUAUUUGUUAUGAGUUUUUGACCGAGACUGAGUUCCCGGCCAAAUAUCUUUGGAAACGCUUUGGGAUUUGCAGAGAAGUUAGUCUGGAAAAUUAAGUUGUUAGCUGCGGCGUGUUCUUAGCUUCCUAUCAAGAUAGAAGAAAUUGAUGCUCUAUCGACUAUCGAUUUGUAGGUAAAUGAAAUUUAUCACCAAGUCGUAUGCUUUCUCUAUUUGUUAUGAGUUUUUGAAUCUAGAAUCUGUAUGCUAAGUAGCUAAAGAUACUUGCGUUCUUCAUUUUAAAUAAGUGUAUUUUUUGGUUAUAUGUACGCCCUGAAUAUAAGUGAUGGCCUAUGAGGAAAGUCCAUAAACGAAACAUAGAGCAACAUACCCUUGAAGCCUUUUGUUGUUUCUGUGAGUUAAAGAACCACUUUUUGUAGGUUCCUUUCCAUAACUUAGGUGUAGUGUCCUUAACGCACGUCCUUAAGAGCACGUGAGCUAAAUGUUGCUUAACAACAGUUUAAGAUUGAAGCAAGGUAUAUUUGUUUAUAUGCAAAAUUGAUGAACAAAGCUUAAUUGAUAAGGAAGACAAACAUAUAAGCAAAAUCAACAAACUGAUACUGAUAUGACAAUAUAUGAAGGUGUUGGAUACAUUUACUAUGCAGAUGAUCACUGUAUAAGCCAGUUGUUUUCCGGUACUUUGCAAAGUUCUUUUUCACCCAUUUCAUGAGCUCGAUAACAUAAUCACCCUUAAUAUUAUUGGCUUGCACUCCAAUCUUCCACAAAUAUGUGAAGUUUUAAUUAAAUUUAUUGAAGCGGAAACUCUGUGGUGUCAGGCUUGCACUCCAAUCUUCCACAAGGUCAAUGUACAUGCUCAAAAUAUAAUUACAAACAUAAAGUUGAUUGAGCUAAACAUUCUUCUACAUUUAAUCUACUUUGAUAUAUCGUGUUGUAGCUUAACUGAUUUUUCAGUCAUACGGUAAUACUUUAAUUUGCCAAAUAUCUAUCUGUAUUUGCAGUCAAUCGCUUCAUUUAAAUUGUACAGUUGCAGGAAGAUGGAUUAGCAACCAACAUUUCACUUUUCAUUGGUUGCUGCUAAGUAUGACAUAGUAAAUAGAAUGAGUUUUAUUAGUAAGGAUAUAAUGACACUAUUUAAUGGAGAAAUCAGAUAUUUAUGGUGUUAAAUUUUCCUAUUAAUUUCAGGGCAUAUGAUCGUGUUGCGAUUGAAUUUAGAAGACUGGAUGCAGAUAUCAAUUUCAAUGUUAGUUAUUACCAUGAUGAUCUAAUGCACUUUCACAAAAAUUAUUUUUGGGCAAUUGGUGCUGUUUUGGACUAUCUACUACAUACUAAGGAGCAUGGACAGAUGAAAGGGGAUGAUCUUCUGGCGGGUAUGCUUCUAAUAAGAAGCUAUCUUGCAGAAGCACCAGAUGCAUGUAAAGAUAAGGUCACAGAACUCCUAGGCUAUAUACUUUCAAUUGAAGGAGAAGAUGAAUUGAGUCCUUUUUAUUCCAUCUGUUUUUUUUUUGCUUCCGAUAAUGUGUCGAAUAACUCUCAAGACUAGAGGACGUAAAAUUUUAGCUUCC